AACGGCCGUACCAUGCUGAAUAUACCGGUUCUCGUUAGAUCACCGAAGUCAAGCAUCAUUGGGCGCGAUCAGUACUUGGGUGGGUGACCACCUGGGAACACCGCGUGCCGUU